UCAGACUGCAGGCUGCAACUCGCCUGCACGAAGUCGGAAUUGCUAGUAAUCGUAGGUCAGCAUACUACGGUGAAUACGUUCCCGGGCCUUGUACACACCGCCCGUCAAACCAUGAGAGUUGGCAACACCCGAAGUCGGUAGUCUAACCGCAAGGAGGACGCCGCCGAAGGGUGGGGUUGAUGAUUAGGGUUAAGUCGUAACAAGGUACC
rnacentral:rRNA from 1 species